rnacentral:rRNA from 1 species
GCGGAAGAUGUAACGGGGCUAAACCAUGCACCGAAGCUGCGGCAGCGACACUAUGUGUUGUUGGGUAGGGGAGCGUUCUGUAAGCCUGCGAAGGUGACCUGUGAGGGUUGCUGGAGGUAUCAGAAGUGCGAAUGCUGACAUAAGUAACGAUAAAGCGGGUGAAAAGCCCGCUCGCCGGAAGACCAAGGGUUCCUGUCCAACGUU